UACGAAGGAUCCAAGCGUUGUCCGGAUUUACUGGGUUUAAAGGGUGCGUAGGCGGGGAAUUAAGUCAGUGGUGAAAGCUGGUAGCUCAACUAUCAAAUUGCCAUUGAAACUGAUUUUCUCGAGUACGGUUGAGGUAGCUGGAAUGUAACAUGUAGCGGUGAAAUGCUUAGAUAUGUUACAGAACACCAAUUGCGAAGGCAGGCUACUAAACCGUAACUGACGCUGAGGCAACGAAAGCGUGGGGAGUCAAACAGGAAUUGAAGAGUACCCGGGUAGUCCAAGCACCGAACGGUCU
rnacentral:rRNA from 1 species